rnacentral:rRNA from 1 species
GGAAUCACCUUUAGAUGCGAUUUUAUGGAGUGUGAGGAGCUAAUCGCCUUCAUGCCUGUAUAUUCGUAUACUUGGGGUGUACUUAUUCGUGUGGUAAGUUAACAUCAAUUUUGGUUGUCAUAAAAUGAUUGGAGGAAUGUAGCUUCGAUCUUGUAUUGAAGUGUUAUAGCCUUCGGUAGAUGUGACGAUCGGGAUUGAGGAUUGCAACGGAUACCCUUCGGGGCUACCUGUCUGAUCUCUGAUUGUUGCUCUGGUGCUGAAAGCUUGCUUAUAGUAUCAAAGUCGAUGGUCAAUAGGUUAGAAUGGGUUAAAUUCGUUAAGGAUGUUGACGUA